rnacentral:lncRNA from 1 species
GGCCUCGACGGGACGUCCUGCUGUCUCAGGUACUAGAACCAUCACCCCGAGAAGUGCCACAAACUCAGGAGUCGUCCCAUCCCACAUCUCUUCCCACUCCACCAACCUCUCCAAUCUUGCAUCCACAAUCCCCACCACCACCAUCACCAAUAAUGCCUCAACCACCAUCCCCGCCAUCAUCAAAACCCACUCCCCCACCAUCACCUAAACCCC